AUACCGCAGAUAUGCCGAGCAGCAGGCCAAGGGAAGCUUGUACCCAUUGCAUCACUGGCGGACGCCCAGCCGCACUGGGGAUCGAACCUCGCACCAUCCGCAUGGCACUUUUGGUAUUAACCCAGACCAUGGAAGCAAGGCUGAGAAAAAAAUGCAAGGAAAGAGAACCCAAAAAUAUUCAGUUUGACGAAAAAAUCAUGGAUUCUGAAUGGAAUGUUUACAUUUUUGAACACCUAAAAAGUACAAGAUGGAUCAAAAUGUUACAAAGAGAUUAUGAUAAAGUUAUUUAUUGUGCCUGGAAUGGACAUAUGCCAACUGCAGAAUCCAGGUGUGUGGAGAACUUUAAUAAAUAGCAG
rnacentral:lncRNA from 1 species